GGCUACUGCUAUUGGGAUUCGACUAAGCCAUGCGAGUCAAGGUGUCUUCGGACGCCGGCGUACGGCUCAGUAACACGUAGGUAACCUACCCUCAGGACUGAGAUAACCCCGGGAAACUGGGGCUAAUAUUAGAUAGAUAAAAGAUACUGGAAUGUUCUUUUAUCCAAAGCUUUUGCGCCUGAGGAUGGGCCUGCGUCCGAUUAGGUUGUUGGUGGGGUAAUGGCCCACCAAGCCUACGAUCGGUACGGGCAGUGAGAGCUGAAGCCCGGAGUUGGGGACUGAGACAAGGCCCCAGGCCCUACGGGGCGCAGCAGGCGCGAAACCUCUGCAAUGCGGGAAACCGUGACAGGGGGAUCCCAAGUGCUCAUGCAUUGCAUGGGCUGUUCUUUGGUCUAAGUAACCAGAGGAGUAAGGGCUGGGCAAGACCGGUGCCAGCCGCCGCGGUAAUACCGGCAGCUCAAGUGGUAGCCGCGAUUAUUGGGCCUAAAGCGUUCGUAGCCGGAUAAGUAAGUCUUUGGUUAAAUCCUGCGACUUAACCGUGGGAAAUCUAGAGAUACUGCUUGUCUUGAGACCGGGAGAGGUUGGAGGUACUCCCAGGGUAGGGGUGAAAUCCUGUAAUCCUGGGGGGACCACCUGUGGCGAAGGCGUCCAACUGGAACGGGUCUGACGGUGAGGGACGAAACCUAGGGGAGCGAGCCGGAUUAGAUACCCGGGUAGUCCUAGGCGUAAAUGAUGCGAGUUAAGUGUGGGGGCAUCCACGAGAUGGCCCUGUGCUGUAGGGUAGCCGUUAAACUCGCCGCCUGGGGAGUACGGUCGCAAGGCUGAAACUUAA
rnacentral:rRNA from 42 species